GACGAACGCUGGCGGCGUGCUUAACACAUGCAAGUCGAACGGACAGGCGAUGCUCUUGUGCGGUGGACGUUAGCGGCAGACGGGUGAGUAACGCGUGGAUACCCUCCCUCUAAUACUGGGAAAAUCUCGGAAAAGCGGAGCAAAUCGGGGAGAAUCUACUGCACCGCAUGGGUCAAUAGUGAAUGACGGCUUUUCGGGCUGGUAUAGCUGGAUAUGGGCUGUAUGAGCUAGUUGGUAGGGUAACGGGUUUCGAAGGCAACGAUGCGUAGACGAGCGGAGAGAGUGGUCGGCCACACUGGAAGUGAGACAGCGUCCAGACUCCUACGGGAGGCAGCAGUCGGGAAUGGGCCGCAAUGGGCGGGAGCAUGACGGAGCAAGCCCGCGCGAGUGAUGAAGGUCUUCGGUGCGUAAAACUCUGUUUUUAGGGAAGAACCACUGUCUCAGUAGCUAUGCCCGGCUUGACGGUACCUAAUAAAGAAGCACCGGCUAACUACGUG
rnacentral:rRNA from 1 species